rnacentral:rRNA from 1 species
UACGUAGGGGGCAAGCGUUAUCCGGAUUUACUGGGUGUAAAGGGAGAGUAGGUGGCAGAGCAAGUCCGAAGUGAAAACCCAAAGCUCAACUAUGGGAAUGCUUUAGAAACUGCUCAGCUAGAGUGCAGGAGAGGUAAGUGGAAUUCCUAGUGUAGCGGUGAAAUGCGUAGAGAUUAGGAAGAACACCAGUGGCGAAGGCGACUUACUGGACUGUAACUGACGCUGAGGCAUGAGAGCAUGGGGAGCAAACAGG